rnacentral:lncRNA from 1 species
CAGAAAUGUUAUCUGGACAAAAAUUCUCCAACAAAUAUACAACACAAAGGGUUAUGUUGGUAAUUUUGCUCAUAAAAAAACCUCCCACACGUGUGUCUUCUACUCUUCUUUUCAGUUUUUAUAUUUUAAUUUUCUUUCUUCUCUCUUUCACACGGUUCUCUCUUUCACGUGAAAAUUAAAGAAAUCCAUCUCCAUCUCUGAAAAUCAUCAUCUCCAUCAAAGCUCAAGUUUCUCCCUCUCUGCAAAAUUCAUUCUCCCUCUCUGCGACAAAACCCUAACACAAUCGUUCCCUUUCUUCGACGAAAUCAGAAAUGUUACUACGUUGAACUCAUUCAUCCGAUUCAAGGUUAGUUAAUUGUUCCAUUUGAUUCUGCUCUUCUCCUUAUUCUUCAAAAGAUAAGAUUCUGAUUUUAAUUUCCCUUUUGCUUAUGGUUAUUUGAUAUGCAUGAUUUAGGGUAUAAAUUAGGGAUUCUAAUUCGUGAAUAUGUUUAAUAUUGAUUUUCUCAACAUAAUUUCAUGAUUCUAGACUUAGACAAAACUGAAAUCAUAUUAUUUGUAGUUUAAGUUGUGAAAUUAUAUUUGUUGUAAUGUUAUGAGUUGAAAAAAAAAUAACAUGAUAAACACAGCAAGACAAAAUAAACAGUAGUCAUGUGUUAAAAUGUGGGUAGUUGUUUGAAACACUUGGUUAAUGUAGAAGUUUCCGUCAAAAAUUGAAAAUUUGACACAGGUUAACUAGCUUGGGGAUUUCAAUUGAAUUUAGUUUACCAAAUAUAAUGUUUCUUAAAUUAUUGAUAUUGUUGUUAUAGGUAUUGUUUUGAAUUUUGUGAUGAGGAGUAAUAUUAGGCUUUUGGAUUUGUUAUUGUCGUAUACUUUUUAGGGGUAUUCUGUUUUCUAUUAAUGUUUGAAAGGGUACCAAAUCAGCUACUACCUACUUCACAACAUUUGUCUAUAGAUUUUUGAGAGUUUUAUGAUUGCCUUGUUUGUGUGCCUGCCAAGUUAGAAGUUGUUUCCAAUUAUGAGAAUGAGGUGGAAGCUUGUAGAAUUUUGAUAUAUUUCUUCAAUGAUAUUAAAGCUAGCUGGGUUUCAUACAAGCAAUGAAUGUCUCACUUUGUGUUCAAAUUGCUGUGAAGAAGCGUAUUUAAAUGAGGAAGUAUGAUUUGAACCUUAGCACAUGUUCUGGUAGAUGCAUGUCAUAGUUUGGUUUUCUAUUGCUUGUUUGUAUCCAAGCUGUCUCGUAGGUCCUGUUUGUGUCCAUUUUGUCCAGCUUUCCAGUACAUGAUUUGGUGGGAGCUCUGCAACC